GACUGGUUGAAGAUCCUGGUGAAGACUCCAGCCAGCUGAUCGGCGCAGUCUUUCAGGACACGUCCAGGGACGCCAUCAGGUCCAGCAGCCUUCCUUGGGUUGACGGCCCGCAGUGUGCGCCUCACCUCGUGCUCCUCUACGAGGGGUGUGGUGUUCUGGGUCGCUUGGUGUAGUGUGGCUGCCUCUGUUGGCUUCACCUCAAAGCGGGCAAGAAGAGGUUCAGCUCCUCUGCCAGCGUGGCGUCGCCUUCCGCAGCUGCGAGGUUGGUCCUGUAGUUGGUGAGAUGCUGGAUUCCCUGCCACACCUGCCUGCUGUUGUUGCUGUCAAGGUAGCCCUCUAUCCUCCUCCUGUAGUCAGACUUAGCCAUUCUGAUGCCGCUCUUCAAGUUAGCUCGGGCUGUACUGUAGACGGUCCUGUCCCCAGACCUGAAGGCGGUAUUCCUGGUCUUUAGCAGUCGCUGGACCUCCUGAGUCAUCCAGGGCUUCUGGUUUGGGAAGACCCGGAUGCGUUUAUCCACAGCUACAGUGUCAAUACAGUUCUUGAUGUAGCACAGUACACUGUCUGUAAAAACCUCCAGGUCCUGAUGUUCAAAAACAUCCCAGUUUGUCCCGUCGAAACAGUCCUGCAGCUGCUGCGUCGCAUCCUGGGGCCAGGAUUUGAUGGUUUUGGUGAUGGUUGGAGCAGUUUUCCUGAGGGGGGCAUAAGCAGGAAUUAAAUGCAGGGACAGGUGAUCGGACUGACCCAGGUGAGGAAGUGGUCUAGCCCUGUAGCCUAGCUUGAUGUUGGAGUAGACUUUGUCCAGAGUGUUAGCCUCUCUUGUAGCACACUUUACAUGCUGGUGGAACUUGGGGAGCGCCGUCUUCAGGUCUGCAUGGCUGAAGUCCCCCGCUAUGAUGUGCACAGCAUCUGGAUAGAUGCUCUGCAGAUGGCUAAUGCUGCCAUGCAAAAGUCCAAUAGCUGUUUUAGCAUUAGCAUCUGGUGGGAUGUAAACAGCGGUUACCAUGACUACGGUGAACUCUCUGGGGAGGUAUAUUGGUCUGCAUCUAACAGUCACAUACUCCAGGUCUGGGCAGCAAUGGCUGAUGACAGUCGCUGUGUUAGUAACCAGGUGUUGUUCAGGUACACACAGAGCCUCCUCCUCUGCUCUUACCGGAGUCUUUCGUUCUGUCGCGGCGCUGUACUGUGUAGCCUGCUAGCUCGAUGGCAGAGUCCGCUACGUCUGGAUGCAGCCAGGUCUCCGUGAUCAGAAGAAUACAGCUGUCCUUCACUGCGCUGUGAGAUGCAGCCUGUAGUCUCAGUUCAUCCAUCUUGUUUGCAAGGGAUCUGGCGUUGGAGAGAAACAGGCUGGGGAGCGGUGGUUUGUGUGGUUGCCUCCGUAGCCUAGCUAGCAGGUCGGCCCUGCAGCCCCGCUUCUGCCUUCUCUCUCUACGCCACCGUCGCUUCCUCCCUGCUGCGAUGGUAAUCCACGGCGCGCCGGGGCUCCUCGCUAUGUCCCCCGGAAUAUUGAACAAGCGUUGAAAAUCAGCUGUAACAUCUAGUUCGUAGCGGGCACCGAUCGUCAGGAGAUCGUCCCGACUGUAUAUUUUGUUUGUCCGACAUGACAGAACACAAAUCAACACGUACACAAGCAGCCAAACAUAACAUAGCACCGACCGAGAGAGCAAUGAGCCGCUGCAACUGCGUGCGCCGCCAUCUUGGGAAAAAAAUAAAAA